ACGGGUGAGUAACACGUAGGUAAUCUACCUUCGGGUGGGGAAUAACCCAGGGAAACUUGGGCUAACACCGCAUAAUGCAGCGGCACCACAUGGUGACAGUUGUUAAAGCGGGGGAUUUUAGGACCUCGCGCCUGAAGAGGAGCCUGCGGCGGAUUAGCUAGUUGGUAGGGUAACGGCUUACCAAGGCGACGAUCCGUAACCGGCCUGAGAGGGCGGUCGGUCACACUGACACUGACAUACGGGUCAGACUCCUACGGGAGGCAGCAGUCGGGAAUUUUGGGCAAUGGGCGAAAGCCUGACCCAGCAACGCCGCGUGAAGGAUGAAAUCCCUCGGGAUGUAAACUUCGCAAGAAUAGGAAGAAUUAGUAGGGGCUAAUACCCCCUAUGAUGACGGUACUAUUUGUAAGCUCCGGCUAACUCCGUGCCAGCAGCCGCGGUAAUACGGGGGGAGCAAGCGUUGUUCGGAUUUACUGGGCGUAAAGGGCGCGUAGGCGGUAGCACAAGUCAGUUGUGAAAUCUCCGGGCUUAACUCGGAAAGGUCAACUGAUACUGUGCGACUAGAGUGCAGAAGGGGCAACUGGAAU
rnacentral:rRNA from 1 species